rnacentral:misc_RNA from 1 species
AAAUAUUAAGACUUUGUCUUUUGUUGAUAUUCUCACGUUAGUGAUUUAUCUAAAUAUUUUGGCGUAUUGUAAUAGCUUCAAAAAACGCAGUGAAAAUGUGUUUAUUGAGUGUUAUAAACAGCCUGUUUACCACUAAA